GAUGAACGCUGGCGGCGUGCCUAAUACAUGCAAGUCGAGCGAACAGACGAGGAGCUUGCUCCUCUGACGUUAGCGGCGGACGGGUGAGUAACACGUGGAUAACCUACCUAUAAGACUGGGAUAACUUCGGGAAACCGGAGCUAAUACCGGAUAAUAUCUUGAACCGCAUGGUUCAAUAGUGAAAGACGGUUUUGCUGUCACUUAUAGAUGGAUCCGCGCCGCAUUCGCUAGUUGGUAAGGUAACGGCUUACCAAGGCGACGAUGCAUAGCCGACCUGAGAGAGUGAUCGGCAACACUGGAACUGAGACACGGUCCAGACUCCAACGGGAGGCAGCAGUAGGGAAUCUUCCGCAAUGGGCGAAAGCCUGACGGAGCAACGCCGCGUGGGUGAUGAAGGUCUUCGGAUCGUAAAACUCUGUUAUUAGGGAAGAACAAAUGUGUAAGGAACGAUGCACGUCUGGACGGUACCUAAGCAGAAAGCCACGGCUAACUACGU
rnacentral:rRNA from 1 species